UCCAGCUGAUCCUGCUGGCGGAAACUGCUAUCGAAAUUCCACUCAGACAUGCAAGUCUAAAGUUCUCGGAAGAGAGCUUGGCGGACGGCUCAGUAACACGUAGCUAACCUACCUUCGAGAAGAGUUAAACCCGGGAAACUGGGGGUAAUGCUCUAUGGGGGAAAGAUACUGGAAUGUUCUUUCCCUGAAACGAUAUGGUCUAUUCCGAUUGUAAUCGCUCGAGGAUGGGGCUGCGGCGUAUUAGGUUGUUGGUGGGGUAACUGCCCACCAAGCCGAUGAUGCGUACGGGCCUUGAAAGAGGUAGCCCGGAGAAGGGAACUGAGAUAAGGUCCCUAGCCCUACGGGGUGCAGCAGUCAGGAAACCUUUACAAUGCGCGAAAGCGUGAUAAGGGGAUUUCGAGUGCCUCCAAUGGAGGCUUUUGCUAAGUGUAAAGUGCUUGGCGAAUAAAGGGGGGGUAAUAUACGUGCCAGCCGCCGCGGUAAUACGUAACCCCUAAGUGGUUUCCACUCAUAUUGGGCCUAAAACACCUGUAGCCUGCCUUUCAAGUCUUUGGUGAAAUCAGUCAGCUCAACUGAUUGAAUUGCUAAAGAUACUGUUUGGCUUGGGGAAGAGAGACGUGAAGGGAAUUUUUGGGGUAGCGGUGAAAUGUUAUGAUCCCAAAAAGACCACCAGUAGCGAAGGCGCUUCACGAGAACUAUCCCGACGGUGAGAGAUGAAAGCUGGGGGAGCGACCAGGAUUAGAUACCCUGUUAGUCCCAGCCGUAAACGAUGUGGACUAGGUGUUCCGUGCCUCAAGUAGGCUCGGAGUGCCGAAGCGAAGGCGUUAAGUCCACUGCCUGGGGAGUACACUCGCAAGGGUGAAACUUAAUGGAAUUGGCGGGGGCGCACUACAAGGGGUGGAUGCUGCGGUUUAAUUGGAUACAACGCCAGAAAAUCUUACCAGGGACGACAGCAGGGUGAUGGACAGUCUGAAGGGCUUUCCUGACACGCUGAGAGGUCCUGUAUGGCCACCGCCAGCUCGUACUAUGAAGCGUCCUGUUAACUCAGGCAACGGGCGAGACCCACGCCACUAGUCGCUACUUCUCCUUUUGGAGGGGGCACUCUAGUGGGACUGCGAGAGUAAUCUUGAGGAAGGUGUGGGCUACGGUAGGUCUGUAUGAGCCGAAUUUCCUGGGCAACACGCGGCACACAAUGGUUGAGACAAUGGGUUGCCAACCCGAAAGGGGGCGCUAAUCUCCUAAACUCAACCUCAGUUCGGAUUGAGGGCUGUAACUCGCCCUCAUGAAGUUGGAAUCCCCAGUAAUCGCGUGUCAUUAACGCGCGGUGAAUAAGUCCCUGCGCCUUGCACACACCGCCCAUCAAGCCAGCUGAGUGGAGUUUGGAUGAGUUUGUGUCAUUAGAUAUGAACGAUUCUAGAUUUCGCGAAGCGGGCUAAGUUGUAACAAGGUG
rnacentral:rRNA from 1 species